UACGUAGGGGGCUAGCGUUGUCCGGAAUCAUUGGGCGUAAAGAGCGCGUAGGCGGCUAGGCAAGUCCGGUGUGAAAGUCACAGGCUCAACCUGUGAAUGCCGCUGGAAACUGUCUGGCUAGAGUCCGGAAGGGGCGAGUGGAAUUCCUGGUGUAGCGGUGAAAUGCGCAGAUAUCAGGAGGAACACCUAUGGCGAAGGCAGCUCGCUGGGACGGUACUGACGCUGAGGCGCGAAAGCGUGGGGAGCGAACAGG
rnacentral:rRNA from 1 species